UACGAAGGGGGCUAGCGUUGCUCGGAAUCACUGGGCGUAAAGCGCACGUAGGCGGAUUCUUAAGUCAGGGGUGAAAUCCUGGAGCUCAACUCCAGAACUGCCUUUGAUACUGAGGGUCUUGAGUUCGGGAGAGGUGAGUGGAACUGCGAGUGUAGAGGUGAAAUUCGUAGAUAUUCGCAAGAACACCAGUGGCGAAGGCGGCUCACUGGCCCGAUACUGACGCUGAGGUGCGAAAGCGUGGGGAGCAAACAGGAUUAAGAA
rnacentral:rRNA from 1 species